rnacentral:sRNA from 1 species
CCUGUACAAGUUGAUGUGCAGUUUGAACCUGUGAAGAACUGCCUUUGAUCAUAACUAAAACCUCAUUCGGAUAAUCUCUACUUUCCUCAAGAUCAACAACUGCCCCACUGACAGAACGUAUAUAAGAAAUAUUUUGUCCCCUUGCACCAAUUAUCUCUUCAGCAAAUGGCAACGGGAUCUGCAUUGUUUGUGUUAUCUGAAAGCAAAAACCAUUUUAUAUGAAAAAAGUCUGCAGCAGCACUAUAAUUGGAAAGAUGAAUGGGUCUCGGCCAUACAACAAAUAUCUGCUGACUUUUGGGUUAAGAGGAGUUCGAUGGUCAGGUAACAAUAUGUCCUUGUUCACUGGAAGACGAUAAUCACUGGCAACCUGAUUUACUUGAUUUUCUUUAGAAUUAUCAUCAGAAUUCAUGUUCAUGCAUAAGAAAGCAUGCUGAAGAACAGGUAGCAUUACCUUUCUUUCAAAUAGGUGAAGCACACCGUGAUCAACUAGGAACUUCCUGAGAACUCCGAGUACAGAUUUUAGGGCAUGGAGAACUUUGAGGGGAGCACCAUGUAUGUCCACAAUUCUCUCAUCCACUACAUCAUAACUCAGAAGCUCAACUACACACAAUAGCAAGUUAGCACCGGUAGUUUCUUGAAUUGACUUGAUCCUGACUCCUUGCUUGCCAAUUAAGUGUGUGGCUUGUGCUGAAGGGACUAAUAAUUUAGCAGAACAUUUUUCUGGUGCAGAACCAGAUAAUGUAUCAUCACAAUUGAUCUUCUCUAUAUCAUUUAUAUGCAUGAAGAUCUUAAUUGCAGCAUCCAUAGCCGGAGGUAACUCUGCUUGAGAUUCUUCUGUUGCAGAUAUUAACAC